UAAUACGUAGGGUGCGAGCGUUAAUCGGAAUUACUGGGCGUAAAGAGUGCGUAGGCGGUUGCGCAAGUCCGCUGUGAAAUCCCCGGGCUCAACCUGGGAAUGGCAGUGGAAACUAGGCGACUUGAAUCUGGCAGAGGGGGGUGGAAUUCCACGUGUAGCAGUGAAAUGCGUAGAGAUGUGGAGGAACACCGAUGGCGAAGGCAGCCCCCUGGGCUGAGAUUGACGCUCAGGCACGAAAGCGUGGGGAGCAAACAGGAUUAGAUACCCUGGUAGUCCACGCCCUAAACGAUGUCAACUAGGUGUUGGGGAAGCGAUUUCCUAGUACCGCAGCUAACGCGUGAAGUUGACCGCCUGGGGAGUACGGUCGCAAGAUUA
rnacentral:rRNA from 1 species